UACGAAGGGAGCUAGCGUUGUUCGGAAUCACUGGGCGUAAAGCGCACGUAGGCGGAUGUGUCAGUCAGGGGUGAAAUCCCGGAGCUCAACUUCGGAACUGCCUUUGAUACAGCACGUCUUGAGUCCGAUAGAGGUGGGUGGAAUUCCUAGUGUAGAGGUGAAAUUCGUAGAUAUUAGGAAGAACACCGGUGGCGAAGGCGGCCAACUGGAUCGGUACUGACGCUGAGGUGCGAAAGCGUGGGGAGCAAACAGG
rnacentral:rRNA from 1 species